CAGAGGGAGAGCGGGGUGCUGCGGGAUAAAUACGAGAAGGCCCUGAAAGCCUACCAAGCGGAGGUGGACAAGCUCCGCGCGGCCAACGAGAAGUACGCACAGGAGGUGGCGGGCCUGAAGGACAAGGUUCAGCAGGCUACCAGCGAGAACAUGGGGCUCAUGGACAACUGGAAAUCCAAGCUGGACUCGCUGGCCUCGGACCACCAGAAGUCCCUGGAGGACCUCAAAGCCACCCUGAACUCGGGCCCAGGCGCCCAGCAGAAGGAGAUCGGCGAGCUGAAGGCAGUGAUGGAGGGCAUCAAGAUGGAGCACCAGCUGGAGCUGGGUAACUUGCAGGCCAAGCAUGACCUGGAGACUGCCAUGCACGUGAAGGAGAAGGAGGCCCUGCGGGAGAAGCUGCAGGAGGCCCAGGAGGAGCUGGCUGGGCUGCAGCGGCACUGGCGGGCCCAGCUGGAGGUGCAAGCCAGCCAGCACCGGCUGGAGCUGCAGGAGGCCCAGGACCAGCGCCGGGAUGCCGAGCUGCGUGUGCACGAGCUGGAAAAACUGGACGUGGAGUACCGGGGCCAGGCGCAGGCUAUCGAGUUCCUCAAGGAGCAGAUCUCGCUGGCCGAGAAGAAGAUGUUGGACUACGAGCGGCUGCAGCGGGCAGAAGCCCAGGGCAAACAGGAGGUCGAGAGGUUGCGGGAGAAGCUCCUGGUGGCUGAGAACAGACUCCAGGCGGUCGAAGCCCUGUGCUCCUCCCAGCACACUCACAUGAUUGAGUCGAAUGACAUUUCAGAGGAGACGAUCAGGAUGAAGGAAACUGUGGAGGGUGAGUGGCCACGAGGCCGGGCGGGACUCUGGGCACUGGGAAGAGGCUGGCUGGCUCUGCCUUCCUGCUGGGUCACAUUUUGGUUUGCAUCAUCUGCCAUUUGGUAAGAGUCACCUCCUGUGUGCUGUGAGCUAUGUACUCCUGCAAGGGAGGAGGCCAGUUUAUGGAGGGAUAGGCA
rnacentral:sRNA from 1 species